UACAGAGGCCUCGAGCGUUAGGCGGAAUCACUGGGCUUAAAGCGUGUGUAGGUGGAUGCCUAAGUACCUUGUGAAAUCCCACAGCUUAACUGUGGAAUUGCUUGGUAUACUGGGUGUCUUGAGCCACUCAGGGGCUACCGGAACAAAUGGUGGAGCGGUGAAAUGCGUAGAUAUCAUUUGGAACGCCAAUGGUGAAAACAGGUAGCUGGGGGUGUGCUGACACUGAGACACGAAAGCCAGGGGAGCAAACGGG
rnacentral:rRNA from 1 species